ACGGCCGUACCAUGCUGAAUAUACCGGUUCUCGUUAGAUCACCGAAGUCAAGCAUCAUUGGGCGCGGUCAGUACUUGGGUGGGUGACCAUCUGGGAACACGCGUGCUGUU